rnacentral:lncRNA from 1 species
UAGUAGUCGGUGGCUGGUCGGUGACUGGGACCAGACCGUCGCCUCCUCCCUUUUACAGCUUUAAGUCUGUGACCCGAGGCCUCUCUGUAUAUUCCCGUGGGGUUGGGCCUAGUUGUCCUGGGAGAAACUAGAUGGAUGAGGAGUAUUUCCGAGACAGGUCCCAGGGCCAGCGCAGCCUUUUCUGUUGCAGAACCGCGACUGUUGUUUUGGGAUCCAGGCCGGAGGGUUUGUUGCUUGUGUUCAUUCCAGUUAACCAUUAGUACUCGAGAAGGUGGUACAGAACGCAUCUAUCCCCUUAGAAGAAAAGAAAUUAAAAGCCAAACUAAACUGGGAUAUAUAUUAAUAUAGGAAACUACCACUGAGACAUAGGAAAGUGUAUUAAAAUAUAACUAGUGAGGUGCUAUGUAUAAUUCAGAGGAAGGGGAAAUUAUGCAUGGGCCAGACUACUAACAAAAGGCUCCAAAGCCUGGGAUACGCUGAGGGCCUUUCCAUAACAGAAAAUGAAAAGGAACCUAAAUUUGAGACUAGAUUUGAGGAAAGGCACAGUUGCGCUGGAGUAGAAAGCGUCUGUCUACCGCAGUGGAAACACCAUACAAAGGACAUACAAGGGCCAAAUACUGUGGGAAUAUUUAUUAAUGAUAUUAAUGAUGAUGCUGUCCGGGCCAAAGGAAAACUUCCGCUUCACCUUCUGAAGUUUCGCUGAAAGUCACUGACAGGAGGCAGUUAAUAGGAGAAAAGACAUAGACAUUGAUUUGACCAUCGUUUUAUGUGACACGGGAGCCUUCAGAAUGAAGACCCAAAGAUAACAAGGGAAAUCGUGUAUUUGUAUGCUUAGGUUCAACAAAGCAUGGACAGCCGUAUAAAAAAAUGACUGGACAAGGCCGGGCGCGGUGGCUCACGCCUGUAAUCUCAGCACUUUGGGAGGCUGAGGCGGGCGGAUCA